rnacentral:rRNA from 1 species
UUACUGGGCGUAAAGCGCGCGUAGGCGGGCUAGUAAGUUAGAGGUGAAAUCCCAGGGCUCAACCCUGGAACUGCCUUUAAUACUGGCAACCUAGAGUUCGAGAGAGGUGAGUGGAAUUCCGAGUGUAGAGGUGAAAUUCGUAGAUAUUCGGAGGAACACCAGUGGCGAAGGCGGCUCACUGGCUCGAUACUGACGCUGGAGGUGACGAAAGUGGUGGGGAGCAAACAGGAUUAGAUACCCUGGUAGUCCACACCGUAAACGAUGAAUGCCAGUCGUCGGGGUAGCAUGCUAUUCGGUGACACACCUAACGGAUUAAGCAUUCCGCCGUGGGGAGUACGGUCGCAAGAAUUAAACUCAAAGGAAUUGGACGGGGGCCCGCACAAGCGGUGGAGCAUGUGGUUUAAUUCGAAGCAACGCGCAGAACCUUACCCAACCCUUGACAUCCUGUGCUACAUCCAGAGAUGGAUCGGUUCCCUUCGGGGACGCAGUGACAGGUGCUGCAUGGCU